AACUUUACGGAAACGGCGCCGACUCGUUUCUGUCAGUGCUACCGAAAUUGCAAUCAGCGGACCGUCGAGCGAGCGUGCGUAGCAACAAUCGGCUCCGGGUUGCAGGUAUGGUACUCGAGGAUAUUAAGUUAAUGACUUUGGUGAAGUGCUACGAAGCAGAUCAUUUUGACACUUGUAUUCAAGUAUGACGGGUUGCAGCGCACCAAACUGCGCAAAUCGCACGGAAGGUGGCAAAGCUAUUUACGCGGUGCCGUGCGGACGGACGAGACCGGCCGGCUCCGAAAGGGACCGGGAUAUGCGAGGUCCGUUCGCCUUGUUUACAGAGUGGCUUUGAAUUCUUCCCCCCGAGGCUCCAAGAACCAGCACUCAUCUCCUGCUACUACCAGCCAUUGCUCAUCCAUUCCCUUGUACGAAAUAAAUUUGAUCUAGAAGCU